rnacentral:rRNA from 1 species
UUGAAGAGUUUGAUCAUGGCUCAGAUUGAACGCUGGCGGCAGGCCUAACACAUGCAAGUCGAGCGGUAGCACAGAGAGCUUGCUCUCGGGUGACGAGCGGCGGACGGGUGAGUAAUGUCUGGGAAACUGCCUGAUGGAGGGGGAUAACUACUGGAAACGGUAGCUAAUACCGCAUAAUGUCGCAAGACCAAAGUGGGGGACCUUCGGGCCUCAUGCCAUCAGAUGUGCCCAGAUGGGAUUAGCUAGUAGGUGGGGUAACGGCUCACCUAGGCGACGAUCCCUAGCUGGUCUGAGAGGAUGACCAGCCACACUGGAACUGAGACACGGUCCAGACUCCUACGGGAGGCAGCAGUGGGGAAUAUUGCACAAUGGGCGCAAGCCUGAUGCAGCCAUGCCGCGUGUGUGAAGAAGGCCUUCGGGUUGUAAAGCACUUUCAGCGGGGAGGAAGGCGUUAAGGUUAAUAACCUUGGCGAUUGACGUUACCCGCAGAAGAAGCACCGGCUAACUCCGUGCCAGCAGCCGCGGUAAUACGGAGGGUGCAAGCGUUAAUCGGAAUUACUGGGCGUAAAGCGCACGCAGGCGGUCUGUCAAGUCGGAUGUGAAAUCCCCGGGCUCAACCUGGGAACUGCAUUCGAAACUGGCAGGCUAGAGUCUUGUAGAGGGGGGUAGAAUUCCAGGUGUAGCGGUGAAAUGCGUAGAGAUCUGGAGGAAUACCGGUGGCGAAGGCGGCCCCCUGGACAAAGACUGACGCUCAGGUGCGAAAGCGUGGGGAGCAAACAGGAUUAGAUACCCUGGUAGUCCACGCCGUAAACGAUGUCGAUUUGGAGGUUGUGCCCUUGAGGCGUGGCUUCCGGAGCUAACGCGUUAAAUCGACCGCCUGGGGAGUACGGCCGCAAGGUUAAAACUCAAAUGAAUUGACGGGGCCCGCACAAGCGGUGGAGCAUGUGGUUUAAUUCGAUGCAACGCGAAGAACCUUACCUGGUCUUGACAUCCACAGAACUUUCCAGAGAUGGAUUGGUGCCUUCGGGAACUGUGAGACAGGUGCUGCAUGGCUGUCGUCAGCUCGUGUUGUGAAAUGUUGGGUUAAGUCCCGCAACGAGCGCAACCCUUAUCCUUUGUUGCCAGCGGUUAGGCCGGGAACUCAAAGGAGACUGCCAGUGAUAAACUGGAGGAAGGUGGGGAUGACGUCAAGUCAUCAUGGCCCUUACGACCAGGGCUACACACGUGCUACAAUGGCAUAUACAAAGAGAAGCGACCUCGCGAGAGCAAGCGGACCUCAUAAAGUAUGUCGUAGUCCGGAUUGGAGUCUGCAACUCGACUCCAUGAAGUCGGAAUCGCUAGUAAUCGUAGAUCAGAAUGCUACGGUGAAUACGUUCCCGGGCCUUGUACACACCGCCCGUCACACCAUGGGAGUGGGUUGCAAAAGAAGUAGGUAGCUUAACCUUCGGGAGGGCGCUUACCACUUUGUGAUUCAUGACUGGGGUGAAGUCGUAACAAGGUAACCGUAGGGGAACCUGCGGUUGGAUCACCUCCUU